UACGUAGGAGGCGAGCGUUGUCCGGAAUCAUUGGGCGUAAAGAGCGCGCAGGCGGCUUGGCAAGUCGGGUGUGAAAUCCCGGGGCUCAACCCCGUGACUGCAUCCGAUACUGUCAGGCUAGAGGUAGGUAGGGGAGAUCGGAAUUCCUGGUGUAGCGGUGAAAUGCGCAGAUAUCAGGAGGAACACCGGUGGCGAAGGCGGAUCUCUGGGCCUUACCUGACGCUCAGGCGCGAAAGCUAGGGGAGCGAACAGG
rnacentral:rRNA from 1 species